AUACGUAGGGGGCAAGCGUUGUCCGGAAUUACUGGGUUUAAAGGGUGUGUAGGCGGUGUAUUAAGUCAGUGGUGAAAGCCUGCGGCUCAACCGUAGAACUGCCAUUGAUACUGACACACUUGAGUAUGGACGAGGUAGGCGGAAUUUAUGGUGUAGCGGCGAAAUGCAUAGAUACCAUAAAGAACACCGAUAGCGAAGGCAGCUUACUAGGCCAUAACUGACGCUGAGGCACGAAAGCGUGGGGAGCGAACAGGAUUAGAAACCCCAGUAGUCC
rnacentral:rRNA from 1 species